rnacentral:rRNA from 1 species
AGAGUUUGAUCCUGGCCUCAGGAUGAACGCUGGCGGCGUGCCUAACACAUGCAAGUCGAGCGAUUCUCUUCGGAGAAGAGCGGCGGACGGGUGAGUAACGCGUGGGUAACCUGCCCUGUACACACGGAUAACAUACCGAAAGGUAUGCUAAUACGGGAUAAUGUACUUUUGUCGCAUGGCAAAAGUAUCAAAGCUCCGGCGGUACAGGAUGGACCCGCGUCUGAUUAGCUAGUUGGAGAGGUAAUGGCUCACCAAGGCAACGAUCAGUAGCCGACCUGAGAGGGUGAUCGGCCACAUUGGAACUGAGACACGGUCCAAACUCCUACGGGAGGCAGCAGUGGGGAAUAUUGCACAAUGGGCGAAAGCCUGAUGCAGCAACGCCGCGUGAGCGAUGAAGGCCUUCGGGUCGUAAAGCUCUGUCCUCAAGGAAGAUAAUGACGGUACUUGAGGAGGAAGCCCCGGCUAACUACGUGCCAGCAGCCGCGGUAAUACGUAGGGGGCUAGCGUUAUCCGGAAUUACUGGGCGUAAAGGGUGCGUAGGUGGUUUCUUAAGUCAGAGGUGAAAGGCUACGGCUCAACCGUAGUAAGCCUUUGAAACUGAGAAACUUGAGUGCAGGAGAGGAGAGUAGAAUUCCUAGUGUAGCGGUGAAAUGCGUAGAUAUUAGGAGGAAUACCAGUUGCGAAGGCGGCUCUCUGGACUGUAACUGACACUGAGGCACGAAAGCGUGGGGAGCAAACAGGAUUAGAUACCCUGGUAGUCCACGCCGUAAACGAUGAGUACUAGGUGUCGGGGGGUUACCCCCCUCGGUGCCGCAGCUAACGCAUUAAGUACUCCGCCUGGGAAGUAC